rnacentral:rRNA from 1 species
CGCUGGCGGUAUGCCUUACACAUGCAAGUCGAACGGUAGAGGAGCAAUCCUCGAGAGUGGCGAACGGGUGAGUAAUACAUCGGAACGUGCCCAGUCGUGGGGGAUAACGUAGCGAAAGCUACGCUAAUACCGCAUACGACCCGAGGGUGAAAGCGGGGGACCGUAAGGCCUCGCGCGAUUGGAGCGGCCGAUGGCAGAUUAGGUAGUUGGUGGGGUAAAGGCCCACCAAGCCUGCGAUCUGUAGCUGGUCUGAGAGGACGACCAGCCACACUGGGACUGAGACACGGCCCAGACUCCUACGGGAGGCAGCAGUGGGGAAUUUUGGACAAUGGGCGCAAGCCUGAUCCAGCCAUGCCGCGUGUGGGAAGAAGGCCUUCGGGUCGUAAACCACUUUUUGU